rnacentral:rRNA from 1 species
GGACAAUCUACCCUAUGGAGGGGGAUAACCCCGGGAAACUGGGGAUAAUACCCCAUAGACUAUGGAUGCUUGAAUGCUUUGUAGUUGAAAGGUCCGCCGCCAUAGGAUGGGUCUGCGGCCGAUUAGGUUGUUGUUGGGGUAACGGCCCAACAAGCCUGUAAUCGGUACGGGUUGUGGGAGCAAGAGCCCGGAGAUGGAUUCUGAGACACGAAUCCAGGCCCUACGGGGCGCAGCAGGCGCGAAAACUUUACAAUGCGGGAAACCGUGAUAAGGGAACUCCGAGUGCCCGUAAAAUCGGGCUGUCCAUCUGUUUAAAUAACAGGUGAAGAAAGGGCCGGGCAAGACCGGUGCCAGCCGCCGCGGUAAUACCGGCGGCUCGAGUGGUGGCCACUAUUACUGGGCUUAAAGCGUUCGUAGCUGGUCUGUUAAGUCUCUGGGGAAAUCUACUGGCUUAACCAAUAGGCGUUUCAGGGAUACUGGCAGACUAGGGACCGGGAGAGGUGAGGGGUACUCCAGGGGUAGGAGUGAAAUCCUGUAAUCCUUGGGGGACCACCUGUGGCGAAGGCGUCUCACCAGAACGGCUCCGACAGUGAGGGACGAAAGCUGGGGGAGCAAACCGGAUUAGAUACCCGGGUAGUCCCAGCCGUAAACGAUGCGCGUUAGGUGUAUCGGUGACCACGAGUCACCGAGGUGCCGAAGAGAAAUCGUGAAACGUGCCGCCUGGGAAGUACGGUCGCAAGGCUGAAACUUAA